GCUCAAGUAGCUUAAAUUAAAGCAUUACAUUGAAGCCGUAAAUAUGACCAUUACAUCCGUGAGCA
rnacentral:tRNA from 1 species